GACGAACGCUGGCGGCGUGCCUAAUACAUGCAAGUAGAACGCUGAAACUUGGUGCUUGCACCGAGCGGAUGAGUUGCGAACGGGUGAGUAACGCGUAGGUAACCUGCCUGGUAGCGGGGGAUAACUAUUGGAAACGAUAGCUAAUACCGCAUAAGAGUAGAUGUUGCAUGACAUUUGCUUAAAAGGUGCAAUUGCACCACUACCAGAUGGACCUGCGUUGUAUUAGCUAGUUGGUGGGGUAACGGCUCACCAAGGCGACGAUACAUAGCCGACCUGAGAGGGUGGUCGGCCACACUGGGACUGAGACACGGCCCAGACUUCCACGGGAGGCAGCAGUAGGGAAUCUUCGGCAAUGGACGGAAGUCUGACCGAGCAACGCCGCGUGAGUGAAGAAGGUUUUCGGAUCGUAAAGCUCUGUUGUAAGAGAAGAACGAGUGUGAGAGUGGAAAGUUCACACUGUGACGGUAUCUUACCAGAAAGGGACGGCUAACUACGUG
rnacentral:rRNA from 1 species